UUGGUUCAGCGGGAGGCGGCCAUUUGGGGAGGACAAAAGUCUCAGAUCGAGGAGGGGAAUGGGGGGAAACGCCCAAGAAUCCGAGCUUUUCUUGCGGGGAGGGGGGCGGAGGAGAGAGGGAUUAAAAAGGGGGGAAAGGGACAAGAGAGGCGCUGUUCCGCCUGGCCGCUGCCGCUGCCACUGCCACUCUCCGGUCGCCUUGCUUCGCUCUACGGAAUUUUUCGGCUGGGGUUUUGGUUGGGGGGAGGGGGAGAGGAGGAUGUGACGGUGACGACUGACGAGAGAGAGA
rnacentral:lncRNA from 1 species